rnacentral:rRNA from 1 species
UACGAAGGGGGGCUAGCGUUGCUCGGAAUUACUGGGCGUAAAGGGCGCGUAGGCGGAUAGUUUAGUUGGGGGUGAAAGCCCGGGGCUCAACCUCGGAAUUGCCUUCAAUACUGGCUGUCUUGAGUGUGAGAGAGGUGUGUGGAACUCCGAGUGUAGAGGUGAAAUUCGUAGAUAUUCGGAAGAACACCAGUGGCGAAGGCGACACACUGGCUCACUACUGACGCUGAGGCGCGAAAGCGUGGGGAGCAAACGGG